rnacentral:SRP_RNA from 1 species
GCCGGGCAUGUGGCAUGGCCUGUAGUCCCAGUCACUCUGGAGGCUGAGGUGGGAGGAUCACUUGAGUCCAGGAGUUCUGGGCUGUAGUGUGCUAUGCCGAUUGGGUGUCCACACUAAGUUCAGCAUCAAUAUGGUGACCUCCCAGGAGCAGGGACCACCAGGUUGCCUAAGGAGGGAUGAACCAGCCCAGGUCGGAAACGGGGCAGGUCAAAACUCCCAUGCUGAUCAGUAAUGGGAUCGUGCCUGUGAAUAGCCACUGCACCCUAGCCUGGGCAGCAUAGGGAGACCCCAUCUCU